rnacentral:rRNA from 1 species
UACGGAGGGUGCAAACGUUGCUCGGAAUCAUUGGGCGUAAAGCGCACGUAGGCGGUCUAGUAAGUCGGGCGUGAAAUCCCUCGGCUUAACCGGGGAACUGCGUCUGAUACUGGAUGCUUGAGUUCGGGAGAGGGAUGCGGAAUUCCAGGUGUAGCGGUGAAAUGCGUAGAUAUCUGGAGGAACACCGGUGGCGAAGGCGGCAUCCUGGACCGAUACUGACGCCGAGGAGCGAAAGCCAGGGGAGCAAACGGG